UGGGGAAUAUUGCACAAUGGGCGAAAGCCUGAUGCAGCAACGCCGCGUGAGGGAAGACGGUUUUCGGAUUGUAAACCUUUGUCCUCAGUGAAGAUAAUGACGGUAGCUGAGGAGGAAGCCACGGCUAACUACGUGCCAGCAGCCGCGGUAAUACGUAGGUGGCAAGCGUUGUCCGGAAUUACUGGGUGUAAAGGGAGCGCAGGCGGGAGAGCAAGUCAGUGGUGAAAUGCAUGGGCUUAACCCAUGAACUGCCAUUGAAACUGUUUUUCUUGAGUGGAUCAGAGGCAAGCGGAAUUCCGAGUGUAGCGGUGAAAUGCGUAGAUAUUCGGAGGAACACCAGUGGCGAAGGCGGCUUGCUGGGGUCUAACUGACGCUGAGGCUCGAAAGUGUGGGGAGCAAACAGGA
rnacentral:rRNA from 1 species